rnacentral:tRNA from 1 species
UAUCCGGUCGCCAAGUGGUAAGGCAACGGCCUCUGACUCCGUCACUCAUAGGUUCAAAUCCUAUCCGGAUAA